UACGUAGGGUGCGAGCGUUAAUCGGAAUUACUGGGCGUAAAGCGUGCGCAGGCGGUUUUGUAAGACAGAUGUGAAAUCCCCGGGCUUAACCUGGGAAUGGCGUUUGUGACUGCAAGGCUAGAGUACGGCAGAGGGGGGUGGAAUUCCACGUGUAGCAGUGAAAUGCGUAGAGAUGUGGAGGAACACCAAUGGCGAAGGCAGCCCCUGGGAUAACACUGACGCUCAUGCACGAAAGCGUGGGGAGC
rnacentral:rRNA from 1 species